UACGUAGGGGGCUAGCGUUGUCCGGAAUCAUUGGGCGUAAAGCGCGUGUAGGCGGCCCGGUAAGUCCGCUGUGAAAGUCGGGGGCUCAACCCUCGGAUGCCGGUGGAUACUGUCGGGCUAGAGUGCGGAAGAGGCGAGUGGAAUUCCUGGUGUAGCGGUGAAAUGCGCAGAUAUCAGGAGGAACACCAGUGGCGAAGGCGACACGCUGGGCCGUACCUGACACUGAUGCGCGACAGCAUGGGGAGCAAACAGG
rnacentral:rRNA from 1 species